UACAGAGGUCUCAAGCGUUGUUCGGAUUCAUUGGGCGUAAAGGGUGCGUAGGCGGCGCGGUAAGUCGGGUGUGAAAUCUCGGAGCUUAACUCCGAAACUGCAUUCGAUACUGCCGUGCUUGAGGACUGGAGAGGAGACUGGAAUUUACGGUGUAGCGGUGAAAUGCGUAGAUAUCGUAAGGAAGACCAGUGGCGAAGGCGGGUCUCUGGACAGUUCCUGACGCUGAGGCACGAAAGGUCAGGGGGAGCAAACGGGG
rnacentral:rRNA from 1 species